CCUACGGGUGGCAGCAGUGGGGAAUAUUGCACAAUGGGGGAAACCCUGAUGCAGCGACGCCGCGUGAGUGAAGAAGUAUUUCGGUACGUAAAGCUCUAUCAGCAGGGAAGAAAAUGACGGUACCUGACUAAGAAGCCCCGGCUAACUACGUGCCAGCAGCCGCGGUAAUACGUAGGGGGCAAGCGUUAUCCGGAUUUACUGGGUGUAAAGGGAGCGUAGGCGGCAGCGCAAGUCUGGAGUGAAAUCCCAUGGCUUAACCAUGGAACUGCUGUUGAAACUGUGCAGCUAGAGUGCAGGAGAGGUAAGCGGAAUUCCUAGUGUAGCGGUGAAAUGCGUAGAUAUUAGGAGGAACACCAGUGGCGAAGGCGGCUUACUGGACUGUAACUGACGUUGAGGCUCGAAAGCGUGGGGAGCAAACAGGAUUAGAUACCCGUGUAGUC
rnacentral:rRNA from 1 species